ACGAACGCUGGCGGCGUGCCUAAUACAUGCAAGUAGAACGCUGAAGGAGGAGCUUGCUUCCCCGGAUGAGUUGCGAACGGGUGAGUAACGCGUAGGUAACCUGCCUGGUAGCGGGGGAUAACUAUUGGAAACGAUAGCUAAUACCGCAUAACAGUAGAUGUUGCAUGACAUUUGCUUAAAAGGUGCAAUUGCAUCACUACCAGAUGGACCUGCGUUGUAUUAGCUAGUUGGUGAGGUAACGGCUCACCAAGGCGACGAUACAUAGCCGACCUGAGAGGGUGAUCGGCCACACUGGGACUGAGACACGGCCCAGACUCCUACGGGAGGCAGCAGUAGGGAAUCUUCGGCAAUGGACGGAAGUCUGACCGAGCAACGCCGCGUGAGUGAAGAAGGUUUUCGGAUCGUAAAGCUCUGUUGUAAGAGAAGAACGAGUGUGAGAGUGGAAAGUUCACACUGUGACGGUAUCUUACCAGAAAGGGACGGCUAACUACGUG
rnacentral:rRNA from 1 species